GACGAACGCUGGCGGCGUGCUUAACACAUGCAAGUCACGGGGGCCCGCAAGGGCAACCGGCGAACGGGUGCGUAACACGUGAGCGACCUGCCUUUCCGCGGGGGAUAGCCGGCCCAACGGCCGGGUAAUACCGCAUACGCUGCUCGGGCCGCAUGGCCUGAGUAGGAAACCUCCGGGGCGGAGAGAGGGGCUCGCGACCUAUCAGCUAGUUGGCGAGGUAACGGCUCACCAAGGCGGCGACGGGAGCUGGUCUGAGAGGAUGGCCAGCCACAUUGGGACUGAGAUACGGCCCAGACUCCUACGGGAGGCAGCAGUGGGGAAUAUUGCGCAAUGGCCUAACGGCUGACGCAGCGACGCCGCGUGUGGGA
rnacentral:rRNA from 1 species